rnacentral:rRNA from 1 species
UACGUAGGGGGCAAGCGUUGUCCGGAAUCAUUGGGCGUAAAGAGCGUGUAGGCGGCCCGAUAAGUCCGCUGUGAAAGUCCAGGGCUCAACCCUGGAAUGCCGGUGGAUACUGUCGGGCUCGAAUCCGGAAGAGGUGAGUGGAAUUCCUGGUGUAGCGGUGAAAUGCGCAGAUAUCAGGAGGAACACCAAUGGCGAAGGCAGCUCACUGGGACGGUAUUGACGCUGAGACGCAAAGCGUGGGGAGCAAACAGG